UGCAAGUCGAGCGGAAACGAUGGGAGCUUGCUCCCAGGCGUCGAGCGGCGGACGGGUGAGUAAUGCAUAGGAAUCUGCCCGGUAGUGGGGGAUAACCUGGGGAAACUCAGGCUAAUACCGCAUACGUCCUACGGGAGAAAGCAGGGGAUCUUCGGACCUUGCGCUAUCGGAUGAGCCUAUGUCGGAUUAGCUUGUUGGUGAGGUAACGGCUCACCAAGGCGACGAUCCGUAGCUGGUCUGAGAGGAUGAUCAGCCACAUCGGGACUGAGACACGGCCCGAACUCCUACGGGAGGCAGCAGUGGGGAAUAUUGGACAAUGGGCGCAAGCCUGAUCCAGCCAUGCCGCGUGUGUGAAGAAGGCUUUCGGGUUGUAAAGCACUUUCAGUGAGGAAGAAGGCCUUGGGGCUAAUACCCCCGAGGAAGGACAUCACUCACAGAAGAAGCACCGGCUAACUCCGUGCCAGCAGCCGCGGUAAUACGGAGGGUGCGAGCGUUAAUCGGAAUUACUGGGCGUAAAGCGCGCGUAGGCGGCGUGAUAAGCCGGUUGUGAAAGCCCCGGGCUCAACCUGGGAACGGCAUCCGGAACUGUCAGGCUAGAGUGCAGGAGAGGAAGGUAGAAUUCCCGGUGUAGCGGUGAAAUGCGUAGAGAUCGGGAGGAAUACCAGUGGCGAAGGCGGCCUUCUGGACUGACACUGACNCUGAGGUGCGAAAGCGUGGGUAGCAAACAGGAUUAGAUACCCUGGUAGUCCACGCCGUAAACGAUGUCGACUACCCGUUGGGGUCCUAGAGACCUUUGUGGCGCAGUUAACGCGAUAAGUCGACCGCCUGGGGAGUACNGCCGCAAGGUUAAAACUCAUAUGAAUUGACGGGGGCCCGCACAANCGGUGGAGCAUGUGGUUUAAUUCUAUGCAACGCGNAGAACCUUACCUACCCUUGACAUCGUGCGAACUUGAUAGAGAUACCUUGNUGCCUUC
rnacentral:rRNA from 1 species